rnacentral:rRNA from 1 species
UACGAAGGGGGCUAGCGUUGUUCGGAAUUACUGGGCGUAAAGGGCGCGUAGGCGGUCAGCACAAGUCAGUUGUGAAAUCUCCGGGCUUAACUCGGAAAGGUCAACUGAUACUGUGCGACUAGAGUGCAGAAGGGGCAACUGGAAUUCUCGGUGUAGCGGUGAAAUGCGUAGAGAUCAGCAGGAACACCCGUGGCGAAGGCGGCCCCCUGGGCCGUACCUGACGCUGAGGCG